rnacentral:rRNA from 1 species
GGCGGCGUGCUUAACACAUGCAAGUCGAACGGAAAGGCCCUGCUUUUGUGGGGUGCUCGAGUGGCGAACGGGUGAGUAACACGUGAGUAACCUGCCCUUGACUUUGGGAUAACUUCAGGAAACUGGGGCUAAUACCGGAUAGGAGCUCCUGCUGCAUGGUGGGGGUUGGAAAGUUUCGGCGGUUGGGGAUGGACUCGCGGCUUAUCAGCUUGUUGGUGGGGUAGUGGCUUACCAAGGCUUUGACGGGUAGCCGGCCUGAGAGGGUGACCGGCCACAUUGGGACUGAGAUACGGCCCAGACUCCUACGGGAGGCAGCAGUGGGGAAUAUUGCACAAUGGGCGGAAGCCUGAUGCAGCAACGCCGCGUGCGGGAUGACGGCCUUCGGGUUGUAAACCGCUUUCGCCUGUGACGAAGCGUGAGUGACGGUAAUGGGUAAAGAAGCACCGGCUAACUACGUGCCAGCAGCCGCGGUGAUACGUAGGGUGCGAGCGUUGUCCGGAUUUAUUGGGCGUAAAGGGCUCGUAGGUGGUUGAUCGCGUCGGAAGUGUAAUCUUGGGGCUUAACCCUGAGCGUGCUUUCGAUACGGGUUGACUUGAGGAAGGUAGGGGAGAAUGGAAUUCCUGGUGGAGCGGUGGAAUGCGCAGAUAUCAGGAGGAACACCAGUGGCGAAGGCGGUUCUCUGGGCCUUUCCUGACGCUGAGGAGCGAAAGCGUGGGGAGCGAACAGGCUUAGAUACCCUGGUAGUCCACGCUGUAAACGGUGGGUACUAGGUGUGGGGUCCAUUCCACGGGUUCCGUGCCGUAGCUAACGCUUUAAGUACCCCGCCUGGGGAGUACGGCCGCAAGGCUAAAACUCAAAGGAAUUGACGGGGCCCCGCACAAGCGGCGGAGCAUGCGGAUUAAUUCGAUGCAACGCGUAGAACCUUACCUGGGUUUGACAUGGAUCGGGAGUGCUCAGAGAUGGGUGUGCCUCUUUUGGGGUCGGUUCACAGGUGGUGCAUGGCUGUCGUCAGCUCGUGUCGUGAGAUGUUGGGUUAAGUCCCGCAACGAGCGCAACCCUUGUUCACUGUUGCCAGCACGUUAUGGUGGGGACUCAGUGGAGACCGCCGGGGUCAACUCGGAGGAAGGUGGGGAUGACGUCAAGUCAUCAUGCCCCUUAUGUCCAGGGCUUCACGCAUGCUACAAUGGCUGGUACAGAGAGUGGCGAGCCUGUGAGGGUGAGCGAAUCUCGGAAAGCCGGUCUCAGUUCGGAUUGGGGUCUGCAACUCGACCUCAUGAAGUCGGAGUCGCUAGUAAUCGCAGAUCAGCAACGCUGCGGUGAAUACGUUCCCGGGGCUUGUACACACCGCCCGUCAAGUCAUGAAAGUUGGUAACACCCGAAGCCGGUGGCCUAACCGUUGUGGGGGAGCCGUCGAAGGUGGGACUGGUGAUUAGGACUAAGUC